rnacentral:rRNA from 1 species
GAUGAACGCUAGCUACAGGCUUAACACAUGCAAGUCGAGGGGCAGCAUGGUCUUAGCUUGCUAAGGCCGAUGGCGACCGGCGCACGGGUGAGUAACGCGUAUCCAACCUUCCCUAUAGUAGGGGAUAGCCCGUAGAAAUGCGGAUUAAUACCCUAUGUUGUAUUUUGAUGACAUCAGAUGAGGAAUAAAGGUUUACCGCUAUGGGAUGGGGAUGCGUCUGAUUAGGUUGCAGGCGGGGUAACGGCCCACCUGGCCAACGAUCAGUAGGGGUUCUGAGAGGAAGGUCCCCCACACUGGUACUGAGACACGGACCAGACUCC